UACGUAGGGGGCAAGCGUUGUCCGGAUUUAUUGGGCGUAAAGAGCUCGUAGGCGGUUUGGUAAGUCAGGUGUGAAACCUCCAGGCUCAACCUGGAGACGCCACUUGAUACUGCUGUGACUGGAGUCCGGUAGGGGAGCGUGGAAUUCCUGGUGUAGCGGUGAAAUGCGCAGAUAUCAGGAGGAACACCAGCGGCGAAGGCGGCGCUCUGGGCCGGUACUGACACUGAGGAGCGAAAGCGUGGGUAGCAAACAGG
rnacentral:rRNA from 1 species